GCCAGAGUAGCUCAGGGGUAGAGCAGAGGACUCAUAAGCCUUUGGUCGGUGGUUCAAAUCCACCCUCUGGCACCA
rnacentral:tRNA from 1 species